UUGACCUCGGAUCAGGUAGGACUACCCGCUGAACUUAAGCAUAUCAAUAAGCGGAGGAAAAGAAACCAACAGGGAUUGCCCCAGUAACGGCGAGUGAAGCGGCAACAGCUCAGAUUUGGAAUCUGGCCCCCAGGGCCCGAGUUGUAAUCUGGAGAGGAUGCUUCUGGCGCGGCGCCUUCCGAGUUCCCUGGAACGGGACGCCGGAGAGGGUGAGAGCCCCGUACGGUUGGACGCCUAGCCUUUGUGAAGCUCCUUCGACGAGUCGAGUAGUUUGGGAAUGCUGCUCAAAAUGGGAGGUAAAUUUCUUCUAAAGCUAAAUACCGGCCAGAGACCGAUAGCGCACAAGUAGAGUGAUCGAAAGAUGAAAAGCACUUUGAAAAGAGGGUCAAACAGUACGUGAAAUUGUUGAAAGGGAAGCGCCCGUGGCCAGACUUGUGCCCCGCGGACCACCCGGCGCCCUCAGCGCCGGUGCACUCCGCGGGGCGCAGGCCAGCAUCGGUUUUCCUAGGGGGAUAAAGGCGGCGGGAACGUGGCUCCCUCGGGAGUGUUAUAGCCCGCCGCGCCAUGCCCCUGGGGGGACCGAGGACCGCGCUUCGGCAAGGAUGCUGGCGUAAUGGCCACCGGCGACCCGU
rnacentral:rRNA from 2 species